rnacentral:rRNA from 1 species
GAUCUCCUACGGGAGGCAGCAGUGGGGAAUCUUGGACAAUGGGGGCAACCCUGAUCCAGCCAUGCCGCGUGAGUGAUGAAGGCCCUAGGGUCGUAAAGCUCUUUCGCCUGUGAUGAUAAUGACAGUAGCAGGUAAAGAAACCCCGGCUAACUCCGUGCCAGCAGCCGCGGUAAUACGGAGGGGGUUAGCGUUGUUCGGAAUUACUGGGCGUAAAGCGCGCGUAGGCGGACUAUUAAGUCAGGGGUGAAAUCCCGGGGCUCAACCCCGGAACUGCCCUUGAUACUGGUAGUCUUGAGUUCGAGAGAGGUGAGUGGAAUUCCGAGUGUAGAGGUGAAAUUCGUAGGUAUUCGGAGGAACACCAGUGGCGAAAGCGGCA